GAUGAACGCUGGCGGCGUGCCUAAUACAUGCAAGUCGAGCGAACAGACGAGGAGCUUGCUCCUCUGACGUUAGCGGCGGACAGGUGAGUAACACGUGGAUAACCUACCUAUAAGACUGGGAUAACUUCGGGAAACCGGAGCUAAUACCGGAUAAUAUAUUGAACCGCAUGGUUCAAUAGUGAAAGACGGUUUUGCUGUCACUUAUAGAUGGAUCCGCGCCGCAUUAGCUAGUUGGUAAGGUAACGGCUUACCAAGGCAACGAUGCGUAGCCGACCUGAGAGGGUGAUAGGCCACACGGGAACUGAGACACGGUCCAGACUCCUACGGGAGGCAGCAGUAGGGAAUCUUCCGCAAUGGGCGAAAGCUUGACGGAGCAACGCCGCGUGAGUGAUGAAGGUCUUCGGAUCGUAAAACUCUGUUAUUAGGGAAGAACAAAUGUGUAAGUAACUAUGCACGUCUUGACGGUACCUAAUCAGAAAGCCACGGCUAACUACGUG
rnacentral:rRNA from 1 species